rnacentral:rRNA from 1 species
UACGGAGGAUGCAAGCGUUAUCCGGAUUUAUUGGGUUUAAAGGGUGCGCAGGCGGGCGUUGUAAGUCAGCGGUGAAAUACUGUCGCUUAACGAUAGGAUUGCCAUUGAUACUGCUUGUCUUGAGUUUGGUUGAGGUAUGCGGAAUGUGCAGUGUAGCGGUGAAAUGCAUAGAUAUUGCACAGAACACCAAUUGCGAAGGCAGCAUACUAAGCCAAAACUGACGCUGAGGCACGAAAGCGUGGGGAG